rnacentral:misc_RNA from 1 species
CAUCGGUGGAGAUUUGAAUGGACACGUAGGAAGUGAUAGGCAAGGCUAUGAGAAUGUUCAUGGAGGUUUUAGUUUUGAUAGCAGAAAUGAGGAGGGGAAAAACAUCCUGGAUUUUGCCAUGGCAUACGACCUAAUGCUAGCAAAUACCUACUUUGUAAAAAGGGAGUUGCAUUUAGUGACUUUCAAAAGUGGAUAACAUAGAAGCUAAAUUGACUUCCUCUUAACCAGGA